rnacentral:rRNA from 1 species
UACGGGGGGGGCAAGUGUUGUUCGGAAUUACUGGGCGUAAAGGGCUCGUAGGCGGCCAACUCAGUCGGACGUGAAAUCCCUCGGCUUAACUGGGGAACUGCGUGUGAUACUGGAUGGCUUGGAUUUGGGAGAGGGAUGCGGAAUUCCAGGUGUAGCGGUGAAAUGCGUAGAUAUCUGGAGGAACACCGGUGGCGAAGGCGGCAUCCUGGACCAAUAUUGACGCUGAGGAGCGAAAGCCAGGGGAGCAAACGGG